AUGCAGUUUUCAGUUUUUGUGAUGACCUCGAUGGCAUUCAUUUUAGAUAGGAGUGAUGGAGAUUCUGUUACUGAGCAGGAGCCCUGGUUCGCACAGACAGAGGGAGAAAAUGUCACGUUCAGUUGCACCUAUACCGGCAAUGCUUUUUACUUGCUCUGGUACCGUCAAUACCCGGAAAGACAGCCCGAGUUUGCAGUCUGGAAGAUGGAGAGCAGUGGUGCUGAACUUAAGGCGGACUUCGCUCAGACCCGUUUUUUUGGUACACUCCAGAAAUCUGAAAAGUUGUAUCGACUGACCAUUUCAGAGCUGGUCCUGUCUGACACCGCGACCUAUUAUUGUGCAAUGAGCCUCACA